CACAGGGAGGUAGUGACAAGAAAUAACAAUACAGGGCUACUGUCUUGUAAUUGGAAUGAUGGCGACCCAAACCCUCGCCAGAGUACCAAUUGGAGGGCAAGUCUGGUGCCAGCAGCCGCGGUAAUUCCAGCUCCAAUAGCGUAUAUUAAACUUGUUGCAGUUAAAAAGCUCGUAGUUGAACUUCGGCCUUGCGCGUCCUGCGGGUCUGCGCGCGGCCUUUGCGUUACUUUGAGAAAAUUANAGUGUUUCAAGCAGGCUUUCGCCGUGAAUACUUGANCAUGGAAUAACUGGGCAGGACCUUGGUUCUUCUUUGUUGGUUCUUCUUUGUUGGUUUUGUACCUGGGUAAUGGUUAAUAGGAACGGUUGGGGGCAUUCGUAUUUAACUUGUCA
rnacentral:rRNA from 1 species